rnacentral:misc_RNA from 1 species
UUAAGUUCAGCGGGUAUCCCUACCUGAUCCGAGGUCAACCAUAGAAAAUAUAGGUUAUGGCAAGCGCUCACCAGGACACUGUAGCGAGAAGAGUUACUACGCUUAGAGCCAGGUGGCACCGCCACUGAUUAUGAGCUGCCAGCGCGGCAGGCCCCAACACCAAGCUGAGCUUGAGGGGUUGUAAUGACGCUCGAACAGGC